rnacentral:lncRNA from 13 species
AUAUAGAUAGUAUCUAAUGAAAACAAAUACUAAUGACCACUUUGCUCGGUAAAAGAAAGGAUGCAGAUGUAACAAAAGAAUAUGUGCUUUAGGAAAUAUGGAAAGGGCCAGGAUUCUCAUAAUCACUUGAGCAUUGUAUGAAGUGUAUGUAUAUAUCAUUUCUUUUUUUUUUUUAACACUGGGUAGUAGGCACCACCUCCUUUGCACGCUAUAACUACAUCACUGAACCAGUUUCUGGUUCUCACAGCUUUCAAUAUGAGCCCAGCAGAUAGUCAAGUCCCUGUUACAAUAAUGUCAAAAACUAUUUUCAUGACAAAUAUGGUAUCUGAAAAAUACCGCAGAUUUCUAGUCCUAUUCCAUUCUACAUCUUUGGAUAACAAAAUCUAUAAUCUAGCAGAUGCACAUAAAGUAGAUAAUGCUGUCUUUGAAAAACAUAUUCAAAUAUCUAGAACAUCAAUCUUUUGUAUAUUGCCUUACCCUCCUUUUUACCUUUUCAUAUGCAUUUCAAGGUGACUUCAGAGCCAAAAAGAAGAGAGACAUUGUUACUAUUAUGUUACACCUUAAAGAAAAGACAACAGAUAGAAACCUCCCUUCCCAGCCGCUCAGUAUUUACAGCAGCCAUUCUGAAGUCUUUUGGAAACACGCUCCAUGUGCAUCUUUGGCAUGACCUGACUGACAACCAGCCAGAAGAUCUGAGCCGGGGGAAAAUGCAUGGCUAUCAAGUCUUGGCACAGUGGUGGACAAGAGCACAGCGAAUACCAUGCAUUCAAGGAGGUCCUUGUGUGUUGGCUCGUCAGCUCACCAAAGGACACCGUAGACAGCAGAUGAAGAUGAUAUACUCCACAACCUCAGAGACUGAAACUCAGUUUUCAAAAAUUGGUUUUCCAGUGAUAAUUAAACAAUUGCCAAAGCCUCAGUUAGCUUAGUAAGCUAAACAGUGGGUCAUGUGUUAUAGGCUUUCGUUCAUUACUGCCCUAUACAGAACUUGAGAAAGACCCCCUCUGAUGGCUUACCUUUUCCCUGUGAAGCAGAAAGGGAGGCUGUCAGCUCAAAGUGAGGAUGGAAAUGGAAGAGUUAAAAAAAACAGAUCAUCCUAAACCAUGAAUUUUAAAAGUAUUUUAACAGUGAAUUCUUAAAAAAAAAAAAUACAUGUAUCUGCAGUGGCAAUCUGAUUAGAGUAUCAGCAUUUGAAAUUAAUCCUUUAAUCUACUACUCUAACAUUUAAUUUUAAGCAACAUACAUAAGGUUUAAGUACUACAUAUUAGGUGAUAUCAAGAUACGUUAGCUUAUACCUAGAAAAGAUGAUCCAAAGAUUUCCAGAUUUACUGACAAAAGAACACAUUGGCAAGCACACAUACACACAGAAAAGAACAGGUUUAACUCAGCCGGGCACAGUGGCUCAAGCAUGUAAUCCCAGUACUUUGGGAGGCCAAGGCGGGUGGAUCACGAGGUCAAGAGAUAGAGACCAUCCUGGUCAACAUGGUGAAACCCGUCUCUACUAAAAAAUACAAAAUAUUAGCUGGGCACAGUGGAGCAUGCCUGUAAUCCCAGCUACUCAGGAGGCUGAGAAUUGCCUGAACCCAGGAGGCAGAGGUUGCGGUGAGCCGAGAUCACACCAUUGCACUCCAGCCUGGGUAACAAGAGCAAAACUCCAUCUCAAAAAAAAAAAAAAAAGGUUUAACUCUCACUCUAACAAAACUCUUCAUCAGAAUCUGAGUAGCUUCAUUCAAUAAGUGAAUGGGUAUGAUAUCUGGCAUGUAAUUAAGCCUAUGACUAAACAAAUAAGGCAAUGAUUUGUAAAACUUUUUGAACCACAGAAAAGUUAAAGCUAAAAGCUAUUCCCAGAAAAAUAUACAUACACAUCAAAUUUUACAAAUAAUUUCAGAGCAUUCACAGACCUCCAUAAAAUCUAUUCCAUCAGUUAGCCUUUGCUGUGUAACAAACCACCACAAAUGUUAUGGUUUAAAAAACACUAUUUAUCUGAAAAUUUUAGGGGCCAACAAUUUAGGCUGGACCCAGCUGGGCAGCUCUUUGGGUCAUGUCUGUGUUCUCUCAUAACGUCUGUGGUGAGCCACAGAUCAAGUAGUUAGAUCUGCUUCUGAAUUUUGGCUCUAAGAGGCUAGAACACUUUGGCUAGCUCCACAUGGUCUGUGAUCUUCUAGCAAGUUGCCCAGAUUUAUUAUCAUGGUGGAGAUAGAUGCCUGAAAGAGAAUGAAAAUACACAAAGCCUCUUGAGGACUAAUACCAGAAUUGGUGCUACUGCCUAGUUCUUUUGACCAAAGCAUGUCACAAGUUAGGCCCACAUUCGAGGGGCUGGGAAAUAGACUCUACCUCUUACAUAAGGUGUUACAAAAUCAUAUCGCAAGAAACAUUAUUACAGGGAGGAAUAAAAAAUUAAGACCAAUUUUUCA